AUUGAACGCUGGCGGCAUGCCUUACACAUGCAAGUCGAACGGGUAACGCGGGGGCAACCCUGGCGACGAGUGGCGAACGGGUGAGUAAUACAUCGGAACGUACCCAGUAGUGGGGGAGUAGCUCGGCGAAAGCCGGAUUAAUACCGCAUACGACCUAUGGGUGAAAGCGGGGGAUCGCAAGACCUCGCGCUAUUGGAGCGGCCGAUGUCGGAUUAGCUAGUUGGUGAGGUAAAGGCUCACCAAGGCUACGAUCCGUAGCUGGUCUGAGAGGACGACCAGCCACACUGGGACUGAGACACGGCCCAGACUCCUACGGGAGGCAGCAGUGGGGAAUUUUGGACAAUGGGCGAAAGCCUGAUCCAGCCAUGCCGCGUGUGUGAAGAAGGCC
rnacentral:rRNA from 1 species